UCUGUUUCCCAACCUCUCUCUCUCUCUCUCUCCCUCUCUCUCUCUCAAACCCUAGAAAAUCCCAUUGCCGAAUCUCAAAAGUUAGGCAAUAAGAUCGAGGAGACGUCAUCCUCCAAGAAGAAGAGAAAGGAACCCGAACCAGAUCAAGCAGACUCAGAAACCGAAGACUCCGAUACAGGAAAUCUUAAGAAACUUAAGACAGAAGUAUCCUCUUCCGAAGGUGAUGAUUCCAACGGUCCGCUGCCUCUGCAGAGAAUGGAAAACGGGCUCGUACUCCACUCUCUGGAGGCACUCGAUAUUGGCAAAUGGCAUGCUGCAGGUUCUUAUAUGCAGAGAUUGGACGUCUUCAGAACAUUCACAAUAGCCAUAGAUGCAGUGGAUACAAACAAUUGCAAGUUGAUGAUUCUACCAAGCUUGUUUUUUCUCUCAAGGACAGAUUUUCCUGGCCAAGAAAAAUGCAAAAUGAGACCGGGCUGGAAAUUGCAUCUAUAUAUCACAUGGAUGCCAUGUAACUCUUACCAUUUUUUUCUUUAAAUUAUUAUUGUGGUGGUCCUGUUAAAUAUAUGAGUUUUUCAAUUGUUUUCACCACUCAUGUCAAGGAGAUUUUACUAUUGUUUCUUAUUAAAGUUGCUUAUUUGUUGAUAUUGUUCUAUACUUUUUCUUUUUCCUGUAAUAGGUGGGGACGCAUCAAUGACUUCACCAUUGUCAUCAUUGAGUGAUGAGCCCCAACCAAAAAGAGAAUUUGUUGUCUAUACUCAAAGCCCCAGGUUCUAUGGGUGAGUGUCCAGAAGCGUCCUUAAAGAAUGUAGGCAAUUGGAGUUAGUUUUCUUUUACUAUUGUAGUGAAUUUCAUUAGUUAUAGGAAGCUCUUUUUUUAAUGCCUCUGUUUUUCUCUUUCACAUCCUAAAAGAAUUACUUCCUUCCUUCCUAUUUCUUGGGUUAGAUUAGAGGACUACUAGAAAGCCAGUCUCCUCUGCCUUGGAAGUACCUACUUUCAUGCCUCCUAUUUCUUGCAUUUGCGUGCAUCAAAGCUGUCAAUGGAUUGGCCAUCUGAGUCAUGUUGGGAGCAAAGACCAUGGCAAUGUUUCUUGCAUUCAUCUUGUUAGCUUCUUCCUCUUCGAUGACAUCUGCCAUGAGAUCAACGGCCCAGUAGAGGAGUAGUUUCACAAGUUCCACACUCUCUUCCUCUAUGUCGCAUUGCAGAACUUGUUCAGGGGAAAGGCCAUCAAGUACUGCUGUAGGAAGCUCUCUGAACCAGGCCUUAAUAAGACCUGCUAGGCAAUGAACAUCAAUGUCAUCAGUGUCAAUCGAUUUCUUUGCAUUCUCUACAAUUGCCAAUGUAUAAUUUUACAUCACAAGUGUUGAAUGAACAUUUGGCUAUGGGGAAGGUGGAUGAGUUGCAUCCUGACUUGACAGUAGACCCUCUUGGAAUCUUGCAUCCUGCAAACUAAUUAACUCAUCAACUUCCAAUGGUCAGUGCAUACUCAUCCUUUGCAAGGAUGGUGGGAGUUGGAAUUGGUUUGGAGCAACAAAGAAGGAGAAUGGACCCCAUGACUAAUGAACUGUAGUUCACAAACUACACUAGAGAUUUCAUUGGCACAGUUGAUUACAUAUUUUACACAGGUAAAUUUCCUUGUUACAAGAUGACUUUGCCUGAGCUUUC